rnacentral:rRNA from 1 species
UUCGGUUCUAGCGGCGGACGGGUGAGUAACGCGUGGGAACGUGCCCUUUGCUACGGAAUAGUCCCGGGAAACUGGGUUUAAUACCGUAUGUGCCCCUUGGCCUUGGCGGUCUUGGGGGAAAGAUUUAUCGGCAAAGGAUCGGCCCGCGUUGGAUUAGGUAGUUGGUGGGGUAAUGGCUCACCAAGCCGACGAUCCAUAGCUGGUUUGAGAGGAUGAUCAGCCACACUGGGACUGAGACACGGCCCAGACUCCUACGGGAGGCAGCAGUGGGGAAUCUUAGACAAUGGGGGCAACCCUGAUCUAGCCAUGCCGCGUGAGUGAUGAAGGCCUUAGGGUUGUAAAGCUCUUUCAGCUGGGAAGAUAAUGACGGUACCAGCAGAAGAAGCCCCGGCUAACUCCGUGCCAGCAGCCGCGGUAAUACGGAGGGGGCUAGCGUUGUUCGGAAUUACUGGGCGUAAAGCGCACGUAGGCGGACUGGAAAGUCAGAGGUGAAAUCCCAGGGCUCAACCUUGGAACUGCCUUUGAAACUAUCGGUCUGGAGUUCGAGAGAGGUGAGUGGAAUUCCGAGUGUAGAGGUGAAAUUCGUAGAUAUUCGGAGGAACACCAGUGGCGAAGGCGGCUCACUGGCUCGAUACUGACGCUGAGGUGCGAAAGC